rnacentral:rRNA from 1 species
AGUGAACGCUGGCGGUAGGCCUAACACAUGCAAGUCGAACGGCAGCACAGUAAGAGCUUGCUCUUACGGGUGGCGAGUGGCGGACGGGUGAGGAAUACAUCGGAAUCUACUUUUUCGUGGGGGAUAACGUAGGGAAACUUACGCUAAUACCGCAUACGACCUACGGGUGAAAGCAGGGAAUCUUCGGACCUUGCGCGAUUGAAUGAGCCGAUGUCGGAUUAGCUAGUUGGCGGGGUAAAGGCCCACCAAGGCGACGAUCCGUAGCUGGUCUGAGAGGAUGAUCAGCCACACUGGAACUGAGACACGGUCCAGACUCCUACGGGAGGCAGCAGUGGGGAAUAUUGGACAAUGGGCGCAAGCCUGAUCCAGCCAUACCGCGUGGGUGAAGAAGGCCUUCGGAUUGUAAAGCCCUUUUGUUGGGAAAGAAAAGCAGCAGGUUAAUACCCCGCUGUUCUGACGGUACCCAAAGAAUAAGCACCGGCUAACUUCGUG